rnacentral:rRNA from 1 species
GGAUGUUAGCGGCGGACGGGUGAGUAACACGUGGGUAACCUGCCUGUAAGACUGGGAUAACUCCGGGAAACCGGAGCUAAUACCGGAUAGUUCCUUGAACCGCAUGGUUCAAGGAUGAAAGACGGUUUCGGCUGUCACUUACAGAUGGACCCGCGGCGCAUUAGCUAGUUGGUGAGGUAACGGCUCACCAAGGCGACGAUGCGUAGCCGACCUGAGAGGGUGAUCGGCCACACUGGGACUGAGACACGGCCCAGACUCCUACGGGAGGCAGCAGUAGGGAAUCUUCCGCAAUGGACGAAAGUCUGACGGAGCAACGCCGCGUGAGUGAUGAAGGUUUUCGGAUCGUAAAGCUCUGUUGUUAGGGAAGAACAAGUGCAAGAGUAACUGCUUGCACCUUGACGGUACCUAACCAGAAAGCCACGGCUAACUACGUGCCAGCAGCCGCGGUAAUACGUAGGUGGCAAGCGUUGUCCGGAAUUAUUGGGCGUAAAGGGCUCGCAGGCGGUUUCUUAAGUCUGAUGUGAAAGCCCCCGGCUCAACCGGGGAGGGUCAUUGGAAACUGGGAAACUUGAGUGCAGAAGAGGAGAGUGGAAUUCCACGUGUAGCGGUGAAAUGCGUAGAGAUGUGGAGGAACACCAGUGGCGAAGGCGACUCUCUGGUCUGUAACUGACGCUGAGGAGCGAAAGCGUGGGGAGCGAACAGGAUUAGAUACCCUGGUAGUCCACGCCGUAAACGAUGAGUGCUAAGUGUUAGGGGGUUUCCGCCCCUUAGUGCUGCAGCUAACGCAUUAAGCACUCCGCCUGGGGAGUACGGUCGCAAGACUGAAACUCAAAAGGAAUUGACGGGGGGCCCGCACAAGCGG